CGCAAGACCUCGCGCGAUUGGAGCGGCCGAUAUCAGAUUAGGUAGUUGGUGGGGUAAAAGCCUACCAAGCCUUCGAUCUGUAGCUGGUCUGAGAGGACGACCAGCCACACUGGAACUGAGACACGGUCCAGACUCCUACGGGAGGCAGCAGUGGGGAAUUUUGGACAAUGGGCGCAAGCCUGAUCCAGCAAUGCCGCGUGCAGGAUGAAGGCCUUCGGGUUGUAAACUGCUUUUGUACGGAACGAAACGGUUCUCUCUAAUACAGGGGGCUAAUGACGGUACCGUAAGAAUAAGCACCGGCUAACUACGUG
rnacentral:rRNA from 1 species